rfam:Wallemia sebi CBS 633.66 unplaced genomic scaffold WALSEscaffold_21, whole genome shotgun sequence.
GCUCCUGUGGCCUAGUGGUGAGGGCAUCCCUCUUAUAAGGAAUCUGCUUAACUUCAAGCUUAGAAAUCUGGCAUAGGGAAGAUCGGGAGUUCGACCCUCUCCGGGAGCA